rnacentral:rRNA from 1 species
UUCGCGUGUAGCAGUGAAAUGCGUAGAGAUGUGGAGGAAUACCGAUGGCGAAGGCAGCCCCCUGGGAUAACACUGACGCUCAUGCACGAAAGCGUGGGGAGCAAACAGGAUUAGAUACCCUGGUAGUCCACGCCCUAAACGAUGUCAACUAGUUGUUGGGGAUUCAUUUCCUUAGUAACGUAGCUAACGCGUGAAGUUGACCGCCUGGGGAGUACGGUCGCAAGAUUAAAACUCAAAGGAAUUGACGGGGACCCGCACAAGCGGUGGAUGAUGUGGAUUAAUUCGAUGCAACGCGAAAAACCUUACCUACCCUUGACAUGCCACUAACGAAGCAGAGAUGCAUUAGGUGCUCGAAAGAGAAAGUGGACACAGGUGCUGCAUGGCUGUCGUCAGCU